AGACCCGAAACCCGGUGAUCUAGCCAUGGGCAGGUUGAAGGUUGGGUAACACUAACUGGAGGACCGAACCGACUAAUGUUGAAAAAUUAGCGGAUGACCUGUGGCUGGGGGUGAAAGGCCAAUCAAACCGGGAGAUAGCUGGUUCUCCCCGAAAGCUAUUUAGGUAGCGCCUCGUGAAUUCAUCUCCGGGGGUAGAGCACUGUUUCGGCUAGGGGGCCAUCCCGGCUUACCAACCCGAUGCAAACUGCGAAUACCGGAGAAUGUUAUCACGGGAGACACACGGCGGGUGCUAACGUCCGUCGUGAAGAGGGAAACAACCCAGACCGCCAGCUAAGGUCCCAAAGUCAUGGUUAAGUGGGAAACGAUGUGGGAAGGCCCAGACAGCCAGGAUGUUGGCUUAGAAGCAGCCAUCAUUUAAAGAAAGCGUAAUAGCUCACUGGUCGAGUCGGCCUGCGCGGAAGAUGUAACGGGGCUAAACCAUGCACCGAAGCUGCGGCAGCGAACGUAUCACUUAAAGCGAUUCAGCGGGUUACGAUUGACGGAGCGAAGCGACGUCAAAGCGUAUACAAAGUCGAGUCGGUUUAAGGAUACGUUCGUUGGGUAGGGGAGCGUUCUGUAAGCCUGUGAAG
rnacentral:rRNA from 2 species